UAGCAAGCUUCCAGCAUGCUUGGGCCUGCUGUGACCCUGUGCGUUCCUACAGAACUUGUCAGAACAGUUUUGAGACAGUUUGAGGCCUUGUCCUGCUCUAUCCAGAGCAAGGUUAUAGAAAUUUCAGACAACU
rnacentral:snoRNA from 1 species